UUCCCCUUUCCUUUAUCGCCCCUAAGCCUUCUCCUCCUCUUUCAUGCCAUCCUCGUAGCAGCUGGUGGAAGUGGACGACAGCAGCAGCGACGGGCUCGGACUGCCUUCCCCGACGAUCGGGCAGUAGCGGCGUAGCAGUACCCUCUCCAACGCAGCGUUUUCCUUUCCCUCGUGGCAUGUGGAAGUAGCAGCCGACGAUCUCCAUUGCUCUUAGCGAGCAGUACUGCAGCGAUGGCAAGUGGCGAAAAUGACGUUUCCGUGGAAGCCGCCCGCGAGUGUUCUCCUUCCAGUGGGCGGCUAUGGCGUCGACGAAGCUUGGGGAUCGGCGGCAGCAUCUCUCCCUCUUGCUCCUUGUUUUCUCGACGGGCAGUGUGGACCAGCGGCAAGGGCGUGACUCGGCAGAGCAUCGAUCAGAUCAGCACCAGCGUUCUUUGGACCUUGAGCCUCCUCCCGGCGUUUCCCCUGUUUCGCGAUGCAUCUGGUGGCGUAAGCUGGCUGGCGAUCGGUGGUGGCACGCGGUGGUGAUGCUAGCGGCAGCGGCGACAAUGGUCUUCUCUCCCUCUACCAUGGAUUUAAAUAACAUUAAGGUUCAUAAAUUGUGGACAUGCUUUUGAUUGGUGAUUGCUUUUGGAUUAAUACGCUUCAAGAGGUAUGGAGUAAGUCUAAGCGAGAGCGCGUUAGAGCUUUAUCGUUCUGAGGUCAGCUUAGACUAGUUUAUGUUUGUUUAGACUUGGUUUUGGGCCUGUGUGCCUAUGUUGGGACUAUACACCUUUGACUAGUAUUCUUGUUGUUACGAUGAUUUGAGGAUUUAUGUUUUAUUCAGUUUCAGUUUUUGGAUAGCCUGUGCA